GAAGUUGUUCAGUCGUGUCUGACCCUCAGCGACCCCAUGGACUGCAGCCUUCCAGGCCCCUCCGUCCAUGGGAUUUUCCAGGGAAGAAUAUUGGAGUGGGGUGCCAUUGCCUUCUCCGGAAUGAAGGACUAAUGAAAAUCAAAUGACCAAAGGCAUGAAUAAGCACUUAGAACAGAAAUCAACAGGAUAAAGGUGGGAGACAAGGAAAGGAUCAUGCCCAGUGGAGAAGGGAAUUUCUGGUGGGAGAGAAAUUUGAUAGAUGAUAUAGCUUUUGCUCCUCUCUUGUGCCAGGCCCUGGGAGAGAAGCAUACGGGGAUGCUGUGGGAGCCCUUCUAGGGAAGAAGAGCCAGAAAAGUGCUUUGGAACAUGGGAAGGGAACCACCCAUUGCUCAAGAAGGCGUGUUGGUUCUCCUGGAAUCCCCAACCAGGCUCCUCUCAGAAGGCUUGCUGGGGAAUGUUGGCAAGUGAUCUUGUUAACAGAGGAUAAAUCCAAGCCAUUUUGAGCAGGCAAACAAAGAAGAAAACUGGGAUUAAAAAGAGAAAGAAUGCAAAAAGGAACAAGGCACUUCACAUGGGCAUGUGAAAGGAGAUACCGAGCCUGAUGUGUUUCUAAGAGUUCCAUUGAAGGUUAAGUUGAUACCUGACACCUGAGGUGAACUGUGUUGCUGACAUCUGCAGAAUCAGUUCCUAACCUCAUUACACAAUAGCACCAUGGUUCCCAGCAUGGAGUCUGAUGCCAGACAGCCAAGCCCAGUCCCAGCUGUGCCGCUACUGGUCAUGUAAUUGCAAGCAAGUCAUUUAACCUUUCUGCUCCUUGGUUUGCUCACCUGUAGAUGGAGAUGACAGUAUUACCCAUAUCUGACACCUAGGAAAUAUUCAAUAAAGAUUAACUAACAUACUUAUUCUCAA